rnacentral:pre_miRNA from 1 species
CAAGUACUCACUCCGUCCAACAAAAGAUGUUUUGAGUUUGUCAAAAUUUGGAUGUAUCUAGACAUGACUUAGUGUAUAGAUGCAUCCAAAUUUAGUCAAAGUUGAGACAUCCUUUGUUGGACGGAGAGAGUAACAA